rnacentral:lncRNA from 1 species
CCAUGAUCUGAGACAGCCUCUUUUUCCUAGUUAGGACAUUCGGAUAGAUUAACCCCUAAAGGAGAUCCCAUCUCUCUUAUUCUUUCUCGAGUUACAGGGAAAGAUCACGGCUGCAUUUAGGAGUGAAAGCGAGGGAGUGAGAUUUUAGGUUUCAUUAGGGUAGCCUGAAGACCAAGCCAAUCUCGAUUAAAAAAAGAAAACUUAUUGCAACUAUGAAUGUGAGCAGAUGCUUUCUCAUUACACUAUUUUAACC